ensembl:misc_RNA Metazoa_SRP Metazoan signal recognition particle RNA
GCCGGGCGUGGUGGCUCGCACCUGUAAUCCCAGCAUUUUGGGAGGCCGAGGUGGGCGGAUCACUUGAGGCCAGGAAUUCUAGAACAGCCUGGCCAACAUAGUGAAACCCCGUCUCUA